GAUGAACGCUGGCGGCGUGCUUAACACAUGCAAGUCGAACGGUGAAGCAGGAGCUUGCUCUUGUGGAUCAGUGGCGAACGGGUGAGUAACACGUGAGCAACCUGCCCCUGACUCUGGGAUACGCGCUGGAAACGGCGUCUAAUACUGGAUAUGUGAUGCGACCGCAUGGUCUGCCUCUGGAACGAAGUUCGGUUGGGGAGGGGCUCGCGGCCUGUCAGCUUGUUGGUGAGGUAAUGGCUCACCAAGGCGUCGACGGGUAGUCGGCCUGAGCGGGUGACCGGCCACACUGGGACUGAGACACGGCCCAGACUCCUACGGGAGGCAGCAGUGGGGAAUAUUGCACAAUGGGCGGAAGCCUGAUGCAGCAACGCCGCGUGAGGGAUGACGGCCUUCGGGUUGUAAACCUCUUUUAGCAGGGAAGGAGCGAAAGUGACGGUACCUGCAGAAAAAGCACCGGCUAACUACGUGCCAGCAGCAGCCGCCG
rnacentral:rRNA from 1 species